rnacentral:rRNA from 1 species
CCUACGGGAGGCAGCAGUGAGGAAUAUUGGUCAAUGGGCGCAAGCCUGAACCAGCCAAGUCGCGUGAGGGAUGACGGUCCUCUGGAUUGUAAACCUCUUUUGUCGGGGAGCAAGGCCCGCCACGUGAGGCGGGAAGGAGAGUACCCGAAGAAAAAGCAUCCGCGAACUACGUGCCAGCAGACGCGGUAAUACGUAGGGGGCCGGCGUUAUCCGGAAUUACUGGGUGUAAAGGGAGUGUAGACGGUAAUGCAAGUCUGGAGUGAAAGGCGGGGGCCCAACCCCCGGACUGCUCUGGAAACUGUGUAACUGGAGUGCAGGAGAGGUAGGCGGAAUUCCUAGUGGAGCGGUGAAAUGCGUAGAUAUUAGGAGGAACACCAGUGGCGAAGGCGGCCUGCUGGACUGUAACUGACGUUGAGGCUCGAAAGCGUGGGGAGCAAACAGGAUUAGAUACCCGGGUAGUC